rnacentral:rRNA from 1 species
CCUACGGGGGGCUGCAGUGGGGAAUAUUGCACAAUGGGCGCAAGCCUGAUGCAGCCAUGCCGCGUGUGUGAAGAAGGCCUUCGGGUUGUAAAGCACUUUCAGCGGGGAGGAAGGCGUUAAGGUUAAUAACCUUGCCGAUUGACGUUACCCGCAGAAGAAGCACCGGCUAACUCCGUGCCAGCAGCCGCGGUAAUACGGAGGGUGCAAGCGUUAAUCGGAAUUACUGGGCGUAAAGCGCACGCAGGCGGUCUGUCAAGUCGGAUGUGAAAUCCCCGGGCUCAACCUGGGAACUGCAUUCGAAACUGGCAGGCUAGAGUCUUGUAGAGGGGGGUAGAAUUCCAGGUGUAGCGGUGAAAUGCGUAGAGAUCUGGAGGAAUACCGGUGGCGAAGGCGGCCCCCUGGACAAAGACUGACGCUCAGGUGCGAAAGCGUGGGGAGCAAACAGGAUUAGAUACCCGAGUAGUC